rnacentral:rRNA from 1 species
AACGAACGCUGGCGGCAUGCCUAACACAUGCAAGUCGAACGAGACCUUCGGGUCUAGUGUCGCACGGGUUCGUAACGCGUUGGAACCUGCCCUUAGGCUCGGAAUAACUCCCCGAAAGGGGUGCUAAUACCUGAUCUUGUCUUCGGUCCAAAGUUUUAUCGCCUUUGGAUGGGCCCGCGUUGGAUUAGCUUGUUGGUAGGGUAAAAGGCUACCAAGGCGACGAUCCAUAGCUGGUUUGAGAGGAAGAUCAGCGACACUGGUACUGAGACACGGCCCAGAAUCCUGCGGGAGGGAGGAGAGGGGAAUAUUGGAAAAUGGGGGAAAGGCUGAAGCAGCAAUGCCGCGAGAGUGAUGAAGGACGGAGGGUUGAAAAGCUCGUUUACACGGGAUGAUAAUGACAGUACCGGGAGAAUAAGCUCCGGCUAACUCCGUG